rnacentral:misc_RNA from 1 species
GAAAUGCGUUUGCAGUUUUUGAAAUGUCGAGAGGCAUGGCUUACUGGUAUUCUGGAGGAUCUGGACCAGCGAAAUGCAUAUGAGUACUUGAAAGGGAUGAUAAAUUGUCAUAGAAUGCAUCUUUUUGAUGUUGUUAACCAAUAUAGAGCAAUAUUUGCUGAUGACACAUCUGGAAGUGAAGAAAAUUAUGAUGGUGGGCUUCUUUUUAGUUGGGCUAUGCAUCAGAUUACUGCACACCUUAAAACUCUUAAAGUCAUGCUCCCAAAGAUAACUGAGGGUGGAUCUCUAUCAAAUAUUUUGGACCAGUGCAUGUACUGUGCAAUGGGACUUUGUUGGGUUGGCUUGGAUUUUCGGGGC